UUCCGUUUCUGAAUAUAAAUCUUUUAAAAGAUUUACUAAGGAACUACGUAUAAAAAAAUGAAUAAAUUUAUAUUUUAAAGCAUAUCUAUAUACAUCCAUAUAUAAUCUUCUAGUGAAAUUUCUUAAAAGGCUUAUGUUUAAGAAUGGAUGAACUAGAACAAAUAAAAGUUAUCUACCCAAUUGCCUCACGGUACAAUUUUGCCUAAUUUUAACUGACAACUGCUAACAAACUGUUACAUAUAUAAUGCAUUAUGUAACUGGUGAUUAUAAAAAUGAUCUACAAUUAUCUCCGAGGCUACUACGGCUCACUAAUGUUAAUGUACAAGGGUUCCUUCAACUCUAUGUGAACCGUCCCUUCAUGUCAUUUCCGGCCUCGGCGGUGGUGGUUGGGUUUGGCGCGAUGGAGCGGCAUCGGCAGAUAAGACCAAGGACGGGUCGUCACAAAUAUUCUUUCACUCGAGUCUUCCUGUAUUUUCAUAUUUGUUUGUUUACUAGCCGUUUUUAUUGUUUUUCGACUCGUAUAAACAAGUAAAGUAUGCUUGUGGACGUACAGUUUCAAAGACGCACUGAAGUGGGCGGUGUACCUCGAGCUAUGCGAAGCGGAUGGAGCGGAAGCGGACGGAGCUGCGUGCUGGAUGGGAUGGGUCGGCAACAUCGUCGAUGCUGCGUCCACGAGCGACGAGGAAGAAGAUCUACCGCUGUCGGGGCCACAUUGGUCCUCCAACGGCCUCCUCAACGCUAUGUUGGAGGACCGGAGUUGCUUCCGUCGCCGGCCAUCGGAUCAGAGGGAAGGCGAUCGAAAGUGAAUUGGACGGAGAGAGCGAAGUGACAGGUGUCUAGGGUUUUCGGAUAGGGGUAUUUCUGGAGUUGGUGGUGGGCCGGUCGGACAUGGCGGACGUGUCUGGACCGCCUUAUAUACAUCUCAUAUUUAGGGUGGAUAUGAGGGUUGCCGAUCAACCCGAGCAUUUGAGGCCCAUUUAGGACGUCCUUUUUGGUUGAUGUUUUGUGACCGGGUGAUAAUCGAACGACAAGUCCUAUUUGGCGCGAGGGCGCGUCGCCCGUGUAGCCGCCUUAGCUAGGCUCGGUCCAUUUGUUUCAUCCAUUGGGUGCUUUUAAAAUUCAAAAAGCCCCGCUGCUAGAGAAGGGAUUCGAACACGGAAUCUCGUCGUCUAGGGCACGCGCUUACUGCCAUCAUUUCUUUAACUUAUCAUCUUUUUCUUUCAUUUCUU
rnacentral:lncRNA from 1 species